CUACGGGGGGCACCAGUGGGGAAUAUUGGACAAUGGGGGCAACCCUGAUCCAGCAAUGCCGCGUGUGUGAAGAAGGCCUGCGGGUUGUAAAGCACUUUCGGUUGGGAGGACUGCUUCUAGCACUAAUAUUGUUGGAAGUUGACGUUACCUUCAGAAGAAGCACCGGCUAACUCCGUGCCAGCAGCCGCGGUAAUACGGGGGGGUGCAAGCGUUAAUCGGAAUUACUGGGCGUAAAGCGCGCGUAGGCGGCUAGAUCAGUCGGGUGUGAAAGCCCCGGGCUUAACCUGGGAACUGCAUCCGAUACUGUCUAGCUUGAGUACAGGAGAGGAGAGUGGAAUUCCACAUGUAGCGGUGAAAUGCGUAGAUAUGUGGAGGAACACCAAUGGCGAAGGCAGCUCUCUGGCCUGAUACUGACGCUGAGGUGCGAAAGCGUGGGGAGCAAACAGGAUUAGAUACCCGCGUAGUC
rnacentral:rRNA from 1 species